GACAGUUAUGUGCUGUUGAAGGCAGGGCUUUCAGUUGGAGGACACCAGUGGCAGAGGCUGUGCUCACAGACAAUGCAGUUUGGCACGGAUUUGGAAGAGGAGUUUCUCAUCUACUCAAGCAACACCAGUUGGUGUGGAAAUUAUGAAGAAACUUCUGAGCAAGAGAAGAGAGGAUGUGACAAUGCAGAUGGACCCAAAAAGCAGUGCCUCUGAAGAGGAGAUCCUCACAGACCCUUCAUGACCCUGUGUGCAAUGCUGUUCUCAUGACUGUAGUGAACUGUGCACACCAUCUAAGUGAAGAUGUGCUGGGCCUGCUCCUCCUGCAGACAGCCCACUUUCUCCGUGUGGCUCCCCAGAUCUCCGUGAACAGCAUGCUCCAUCACCAUAUAGGUGUGUUCUUUGGUACUGACAAUGUGGAACAGCUAGAUGAUGUUUGCCUGGUCCAGCCCUUUGAAGAUGUCGAUUUUUGUCAUAUUUUUGCAGUCAUUCUUCUUACUAUUUUCAAGAAUCUUAACAGCAACUUGCACCCUUGUGUGGAGGGGACAGCCAGCUAUACCUCAGCAAAGUUCUCUUUUCCAGGAGUCCUGAGUAUGAUUAGGGAUCCUAUUUAAGUGAUAAGCCUCUCUGAUUCUCCAUGACCCUAUGUAUAAUGCUGUUCUCAUGACAGUAGUGAACUGCACACACCAUCUGAGUGAAGAUGUGCUGGGCCUGCUCCUCCUGCAGACAGCCCACUUUGUCAAUGUGGCCUCCCAGAUCUCCCUUUAUUGCAUACUCCAUUAUGUAUUAAUGGUCUCUAUUAUGUCUAUUAUUGAUGAUGUGGCAAAGCUAGAUGAUGUUUGACUGGUCCAGCACUUUGAAGAUGUUGAUUUCUGUUAUUUUGUUGUAGUCAUGUGUCCUACCACUUACCAGGAUCUUCACAGCAACUCACACCUCUGUGUGGAGGUGGCAGGCCAGCUUUGCCUCAGCAGAGGUCUCUUGUCCAGGAGUCCUGAGUAUGACGUAAUGAUCUUGUAAGGGAUAAGCCUCUCUGCAGGUUGAGACCUGACGUGGGUGUUUUUGUGGUGUGACUGAGAAGGCAGAUCUGGGAGCCCUGCAGUUAGUCCAGAUGGCUGUGUGCUUUACUGCAGAGAAGUCCAGUACAAAAAGAGACAAAACCUCUACCGUAGGCUUCUCCAGAGGAACACAUAGUAAACAUGAUAUAUAUCCCACUUAUGGCCUUCCCUAGCAUCGUUCUAAUAGUGGAGCCUUGAGAAACCCCACAAAAUCUACCCAUGAAUUACAAGCACCUAUGGACCAGUCUUCAUGAACCUAGAAGAACAAUGCUCAUUCAUCCUUCUGUCCUAUCAAGGUCAAGUCCAAAGGAAAGUUAUGUCCCUUUGGGGAGAGGUGAAUCCCCUCCACCGUCUUCCUCCCAGGUCUGCUGUUGUGUUUGCAUCCUGCCUAUAUCCCUUUGUCACUCUCCACACAGGAGACACAGUCCCGCUGCAUUCUGGUUCAGUCUAGAUGUUGGAGAAAGGACCAGUUACUCUGUGAUGUUUACCAGAACCGUAUUUGUGUCUUGACAGGACAGUGACUGCAAGGUGCCUGAUCACAUCCUGAAACACACACCCAGAAAUUCCUGACCUGAGGACGUGCACACUCAGCACUAGAGCUAGUGAUGUAGGAGAGCUCUCUCUUUUCACUGGAAAACUAGCAGGCCCUUUCCUGAGCUCUCCAGUUCAGAAGCUCCCCAAGGAUAUCCUGGGUAUGACAAUGAAAUGAAUUCUGUUGCAGCUUCCUAUCACAGACCCCCCACUCCAUUAUCAGCAAAUUCUGCGGGUUAAAGGAGGAUCAAUGUGUGGAAGCCUCCCGGUGGACGUUCUACUGUGGAGUCCUUGUUCCUCUUCGAUGCUGUGCUUGUUUUGACAGUGCAGAAAGGUGACCUACGCCUCUCUAUUCUGACAGAUGCCCCAGUAAACCUACUUGUGCAGAUUGAAAAAGUGCCCCAGCAGAGCGUGUGGGAACUAAUGAGCCUCUUUGCAAAGUAUUGGGACAGCAUUGCCUGUGAAGGGCAGUGUCCAGGGGCCCCUUUUCCAGUACAUGGUGUACUUGGGGUCCUCUGCUCGUAUAGUAUGCCAUUUGUCUUGGAGAAACAAUGAACAAAUACUGAAUUAUUGUUGUAAAAUUUCAAGAGAUUUAUUCUAAUUGACAUUCAGAAGAGUUUAGGAUGUCUGAGUAGAAGACAAAGGAAUAUAUCUCUCACACACCCCUAUUUCUCAGCACCCGUCACUGUUGUUAAAGUGACAGACCUACCCACAUUAUGUCAGCUAACUUUCUCAGUGGCAUCCAAAACCAGCUAGACAGUGAAAAUGGACUGUCCUCCAAGGGCUGCAGGUUAACUAUGCAAAAGCAGUCAAUAGCAAACCCAUUAAGAAACUCAACACAAUCUCAAAUGUUACACCUGCCCCAGAUCCAAACUCUACAAUGUUCAUGCAACAGUUACAGAAGAGAUCUAUGUAAGUUUCUGCUCAUAAGGAGGAAGAUCAGAAACAACCCAGAGAACACUAACUGUUUUCAUGUGAGCUCUGCAGCCACCACACAACAAAUAGAGAGACUGGAGAACGGCUUGAGGAGACAACUCCUCAGGACAUCUAGAGAGAGCCUGGCCUCUGACUCAGCCCAGGAGAGAACAAAUUCCUGUUCUAAGCCAAGAUGGUGGUUUACUGCCUAGCAGUGUCAGCGGUGUCCAGGCAGACAGGCCAAUGUGUUCUGUGUAUCGCUCUUUACACGCAUGCAACCCCCAAGAUUACUGCUUAAGGAUGUGAGACAGAUACAGAGUGAUAACUUUCCAAAGCUGUGGUCACGUACAUCUCUGACUGUCAACUUUUCCCUAAGCCCAGGAGGAAGAGGAGGUUGAAGAAAUAUAUUGGGCUUUCUGGAGCUGGUGAGUCUCCAUGUUGCUGCUUCUGGAGCCCGGAAAUCCUAGAGCUGCACACUCCCCAGCCCUGCUCCACACCCAUUGCUGGAUGCAUGUAGAACACAACACCCUCCUUCUUCCCUACAAUGACUGCAAGGCACCAGGCUGUGCUGUGCUAGAUCUGCCACACACCCCAAAGUACUACGUGUCAGGUCCUGAUGGACACCGACAGCCCACAAUCCACAUAUACAUUUAGGUUAGAAUUUACCUGACAUUCAUGCCCUUUCCAAAUACAAUUUCAGUGCAGAUCCAGGCAUGCAUACAAUGCAAAGCCUCUCACUGUUUUCUUGCCUGCAUACACUACUAUUCAGUGGCAGGGGAUUUAGCAUGGCUGAAAAUUAGCAGUUCCUUGCGGGCAGUUAACAGAGGUGUAGUAAGAGACACUGAGCAUUGCCUGAUGUUAGGCACAAUUUGAGGCUCAGGAUUGUAGAGUGCAGAGGUAUGUGAUACAUAGUGUCGCCCACGGGCUCAGGUAGGUGGUAAGCAAGCCCUGAAAUCAAAGAGUGAGUUUCAGACUGCCUUGGUGAUGGAAGGAGUGUCCAGGUUGCCUGAUAACAAGUAGAGCACUCAUGAAUUUGACGAUAGCAUUAGGGGUGUCUAAUAAGGCCUGAAGAGUGCACAACCGUGAUAUUGAUAUGACUCUGUGGGAGCUUUAGGGAGAUGCUCUACAGUGUCUUAUGAAUACAGCACUGCAUGUUGUGUGGCAGCAUUUGUGAAGUGUCUAUGUAUAAUAGGGUCUGACACAUGGCGAUCAAUGUAGAAUAUCAGGGGCGUCUCCAGUAGUACCUGAGCAAUAGUAGUAUAUGGUGAGCAGAGGUGAUGGUGAUGAUGCUUUAAGGAACUGUGUGUGUGUGUGUGGUCUUAUGGUGAUGGUGGAGAAAGCGUACUUAUGGCUGUUACCUAAAGUGUAUAUAAAGCUAUGUACUGUUGCAAUUUUCAUUGUACUGUGUGUUUCAUGACAACAUGAAAGAAAGGUUCACUAACUCCUUCAAGGUGAGAGAGAGAAUAAGAGGAUGUGAAUGCAUCAUAGUUGACCAGGACGUCUUAUCUGGUUGAAUACUGUUUCUCAUGCUCAACUGUAUUUCUAAACGUUGAUUUUGCUGUUAGUUUAUUAUUUGGUGCCUGGUGAUGAGCAGGGCAUUUCCUCCAGACUGGAGUAUCUGUGGAGCACAUUGUAGCUUCUGCAUCCCUUGGCUCUUUCUUCUGUACCCUCUCCCCAGCUUCUAUACUGAUGGGAAAAGCUGGUUCCUUGCUCUCCCGCUAAGGGUAGAGGGAGGCCCAGAGAACCUUCAGGGAUCACAUUUAACCAGGGUGUCUCUUCUUGUUUAUGACUUUCCCUGCAGCUCAUUCAGUAUUUCAAAAUAUUGAUGUGACUAUUAGUUUACAAUUUGGUUGUCUGUGUAUUAGAAAUGACACAGUGCCUUCACAUUUCUAGCCCACGGAGGACAUAGGCUGUAUGACUCUGGGAAUGAUUUCCUUAGUGGCAUGUGGUGUACAUUGUUGAAUGUGGCCCAGCCAGUGUCAUUCCAUGUGCAACCAUAAUGUGAUAGGGAUUUGACAAAUGUAGGGAAUGGGACACUCUGUGGUGGUGAUGAACUUGUGCAUACCAUCAAGGAUGUUUUCCACAUAUGUGAAAUGAUCAGGGACCAUGAUAUAUAGGAUGAUGUUCAAGCUCCACUUAUCUCCUGCCAGUUCUUCAAAUAGUUUCCUUGUUAAGAUUUGUGAGGCCCAAAGGAGUAAGGAGCCACAGACCUCCUCCAACAUCUGCACCUCUGCAAUUGAGUUGCCUUUCUGAAUUCACAAUGCCUGACCUUACCCACUACAUCAAGGUUAUUCUCUAUUUUACUAUCACGGUGUGCAAUUCAUCUUUGUUGUAGAAAUUGCACCGAGGACACGAACUGAUUAUUGUUCUAUUACCUUCUUAUUAUACCGUCUCUCGCUGAAGUACAUCUCUGCUUCAUAGGGAGAGGGAGAUGAGGAGGGCUUCCGUGGAUCCUAUUUAAGCUGGCUGCCUCUUGUAAUGAUGGCUGACCAUAUUGCUCAGCUGGUAUUUUAGAAUAUGGAUUGUUGUCUAUAGUUUGGUCACCUGGAUACUGAACAGGGCAUCACUUGUUCAUGUGGGACAAUCUGUGGAGCAUGGUAUAGCUUCUUCAAGGAGUAAGUCACAAAACAAUCCCACACAAGUUUGGAAUUAUGAUUAAUAAAAGGGUUAUUUAUUUAAAAGCAAAAACUUACAGAUUGCCGUCCUAGACAACAGCCCCUGCAUGACCAGGAAAGGCGUCUGGUAGCCAGAAGCAGAGUCUGAAGCAAGAGAGGGAGCAUGCGGCUACUGCUGCUUUUUCAAGUCAAAGAAACACGCCCCAGUGGGCUGGUAUCUUAAAGGCUAUUGGCUGAAGGAGCAGAAGGAGCUCCCGCAGCAGCUUCUGCGUCCCUUACCUCUUUCUUCCACACCCUCUUCCUGAAAGUGAUCUAUUCUAUUGUAUAGCUGAUUCACUAGAUCUCUUCUUCAAGGGAAAUGGAGGCUAAGAGGAACCCAACAUGUCCUAUUUAACCCGGGGAUCUCAUUGAGGUGAUAGCUGUCCCUAUAGCUCAGUUGGUAUCAAUCAGGAUAUUUCUGUUGCUAGUUUAAUAUUUGGUGCCUGGGUGCUGAUCAGGGCAUCAACUUCAGCAUGGGGCAGCUUCUGCAUCCCUUGCCUUUUUCUUCCAUACCCUCUUCCUGAAAGUGAUCUUCCCAACCUCUAGACUGAUUGAAAAACCUUGUUCACUAGCUCUCUUCAAGGUAAGAGGUAUCCUAAGAGGACCUUUAGAGAUCAUAUUUAAUCAGGACAUAUCUUGCUUAUGGCUGGCCUAAUAGCUGAAGUGGUAGUUGAGAAUAUUAUUGUUGCUGUUAGUUUACUAUUUAGUCACAUGGGUGCUGAACAAGGCACACCUCCAGGCUGGAGUAUCUGUGGAGCAUGGUGUGACUUCUGCAACCCUUGCCUCUUUCUUUACACAACCUUCCUGAAAGUCACACUUCCCAGCUUCUUGAAUUUGUUCUCCUAUUCAAGAGGAGAGUGAUGAUAAAGGGACCUGUGUGGAUCAUAUUUAACCAGUGUGUCUAAUCAUGCUGAUGAUUGUUGCCAAUGUUCAACUGAUAUUUCAGAAUAUCGAUUGUUGCGGUUAGUUUAUUAUUUGGUCACCUGAGUUCUGGGCAGGGUGUCUCCUCCAGGGAGAAGUACCUUUGGAGAAUGGUGUAGCUUCUGCAUUCCUUGCCUCUUUUUUCCACACCCUCUUUCUGAAAGUGAAUCUUCCCAGCUUCUGCACUGAUGAAAUUCUGGCUCACUGGCUCUCUUCUUUAUGGGUAGAGGAAGGCUAAGAGGACAUUUAGGAAUCAUAUUUAAUCAGGACUUCUCAUGCUGAUGGCUGUCUUCAUAGCUCAAUUGGUAUUUGAGUAUAUUGAUUGUUGCUGUUAGUUUAUUAUUUGGUCUCUGCCUGUGUGUUAGAAAUGACCCAAUCUUUUCACAGGUAUAGCCAAUGUUGUACAUAUGCUGUAUGACUGUGGGAAUGAUUUCCUUAUUGUUAUGUGGUACACGUUGUUUAACGUGGUCUAGCCAAUGUUGUUGCACAAGUUGACUUAUUAUUAGCAUUUACCAGAUGUGGACCGUGAGUAAUCAUGCAAUGAUAGUGUGACACAGUUCUGACAAAUGGUAAUGAAUGGGACACACUGUAGUAGUGACGAUCCUGUGAAUGCCAUCAAGGGUGGUUUCUACACAAUAAAGUGGCCAGUGACCAUGCCAUGUAGGAUGAUGCCCAAGCUCCACUUCUCACCUGCCAAAACAUCGUAGGGUUUUGUUGCCAAUUUCUCUGGGACCAUAUUGAGUAAAGGGUCACAAACCUCCUCCAACAUCUUUCCCUGUUUAAGCCGAGUGGUCAUAACAAAAUCACUAAGCUUGACCUUACCAGUUCUAUGCUGGAGGAUAUUCUCUGAUAUCAUGAUGUGCAAUGUGUCUUUUUGAGAAAGUGCACUGCUGACAUAACCUGAUGGGUGGUUGGUCUAGCCUCCUCCUUCUUUAGAUUGCCUAUCUUCAUGAGGAACAUCUCCAGAUCUUUUCCUGGAACAUACUCCAUGACCACAUAAGUCAUUGUGUAUCAAUGACUUGAAAAAAAUGUCCUAUGUAACUUUGGUGUGUUCCAUAGAUUGAUGGAUGUUUACUUCACAUAGAAUGUGAGUCAGAGCACUGUGUUGUUCCUAAAGGAUCUUGGCAGCCACCUGUGCAUGUUUGGGUAAAUCACAAAUCAUCACGUCUGUGUGUCAAUGACAUGAAAAAAACUGAACUAUGUUGCUAUGUUUCAAGGAAUGCAGGAUGUGUGCUUCAGAAGUGCUAUGAGACAGAAGACUGUGUUGUUUCUGAAGGACCCACCUGUGCAUAUGGGGGUGGUCGCAGGCAAGCAUCAACUCCCACAUGAACCAGAACCUAGAGAUGUUACGAUCCUGACAUCCUUUCCAAGCCUGUCCUCUUCCAUUGGCGGCCCAUGAUGUUGAGCUCAACUUAAGCCACUGUAUUUUGUGGGAAAUUUUAGGACAUGCAAUGCUAGAAAAAAAAAUCGUGUACUUUUAGAAUGAAAGAUUAUAGCUAUGAAUUUUCUGUCUUGAAAUCUGAAAUAUCCCAAAUAACCAAAUGAUGCCUUUUCAGGCCCUUAGAUAGAAGAAAAAUCCGGAGGAUAAUAUACGUAAAGGAACUGAACAAGAGUGUAGCAACACAUGUUCAGAUUCUGGGGAGGAGUCCAUACUUAGACACAGUGAUCUCUGAACUCUUCUGCUAUGCACAGUGUAGCUACAUCUAGAGAUUUUAUCAUAGACAAGAAGGCUAUUCCACAAACAAAAAAAUGAGGUUUUUGACUGUGGAUAUUAGCAAGAAGAGGGUGAGCAUUUAUAAAUGAACCAAUAUUCGUCACAGUGAUGGAGUGGAGGAAGUGAAAUUGAGCAGAAGAAUAUGACCACAGUGCUGUACAGGCUUUCACGGGAAUGUUUUGAUGAACUUGCUCUGGGUAGGGUAGAGUCAAAGGUACAGCCAAAGAAGCACUCUCUUUGCAGAGCCAAAGAAACCCCAUUGUCCCUGAAAUCACAGCCAAAGAGGAGAGCCGGGCCUGAGAUCAGAGCCUCUUCAGUGACCCUGAUACUAGAGUCAAAAUGUUAAAAGGGUCAGUGAAUGAAACAUGCUUUAGACCAGAAACCAGACCUAGAAGAUGCAUUCUUCUUCUGAUAAACUCAGCACAAAAGCUAACCAGUCUCUGCACAGGAAAUCCAUCCAUUCCCUGAGCACAAAAAUCAACGAAUCCCUACGCACGAAAUCCAGCCAUUCUCUGAGCUGUCAACAGAUCAGACAUUGAAUUUUAAUCAAUUUCCACCCUGAAAGUCUUCACCCUGUAAGCACUGGGUUGAGCUCUCAGAGUCAGUUGAAGAGAGGGAAGAGGGAUUGUAUGAGCAAAGGGGUGAGGUUUACGGUGGAGACAUCCACAGAGACAGUUCACCCGAGCUAGUGGGAACUCACUGACUCUGGACUGAUAAUCUAUAGAACCUACAGAGGACCAAAGUAGGCCCUCUGAUUGUGGGGCACAGUUGUGUGCCUUGUACACUUUGUGCAACCAUCAGCAGUGGGACCAGACUUUAUCCCUAGUGCAUGAACUCAUUUUUGGAGCCCUUUCCCUAUGGCAGAUGCUUUGCUCAACCCUGAAUCAGGGGAGGGUGUUGAUUCUGCCUCAACUUGUUAUGCCAGACUCCCCAUGGGAGGCCUUUCUGAGGAGUGAAUUGGGGUGGGGUCUGUGGAAGUUGGUGGGAAGUGGGAGAAGGGAAUGGGGAACUGUGUUGGGUAUGGAAAAUGGGAAAACAACCUGAGUAAAUUGGGAGCAUAAGGACCAUGGGAGAGGGUUGAAGGGGAGGGGAGAGGCAGGGAGCA